rnacentral:rRNA from 1 species
CAUGCCUCAGUCCAGCCGGGUAUAUUACUUUCGGGUGAUGACCUAGCGAAACCGCGGACGGCUCAUUAAAUCAGUUGUGGUCUAAAUGGGCGACAGUUUUAUUUUGGAUAACUGUGGUAAUUCCAGAGCUAAUACAUGCGACUUAAAGUCUCUAGCCUAGCGAUAGGCGAAGGAUGCUUUUAUUAGACCGAGGUGAACGGUCGUGUCUUCUUCGGGAGGCGCGGCUCGCGAUGCUAAAGGUGACUCUGGAUAACAUUUGAUAAGCGCACGCAUCGUCUUUUGACGAGCGGCGCUGCCACUUUCGAGUGACUGCCUUAUCAGCUAUUAACGUUUGUUAUGCGCAAACGCUGGCUCUGACGGGUAACGGGGAAUCAGGGCUCGAUUCCGGAGAGGCAGCCUGAGAGACGGCUACCACGUCCAAGGACGGCAGCAGGCACGCAAAUUACCCAAUCCCAGCACCUGGGGGAGGUAGUAACGAAACAUACCGAUGCGGGCGUCUCUUCGGAGCGCCCGCAAUCAGAAUGGCUAUUUCCUAAACACACUAAUGAGAACCUACUAAAGGGCAAGUCUGGUGCCAGCAGCCGCGGUAAUUCCAGCUUUAGUGGCGUACACUAAAAUUGUUGAGGUUAAAAGGCUCGCAGUUGAAUGUCUGUUAAAGAGCGCAGAUGGGUCUAGACGUUGGUUGCCUCGGAUUUGCGUUAGUUAACGCUGGCGUAUGCCGUGGUAUUCCCGUCUUACCAGUACCCUCUCGCUCGAUGACAUACGGGCGCAUGCUCGGCCUUGCGUUUCGGCGUGAGUUGAGUGCGUGUCCAUGUCACCUUGAGUAAAUCAGAGUGCUUAAUGCAGUCGUAACGGAGGGUGCUCGAGAAUAUCGGGUGCCCAAGGCUUGGGAGACUCGCGGUUCGCGCCGUGAUAUCCCUGUGACGGUCUUUGCUUUGCAUGGUACGUCGAAAGACGCCACUUUACUCGCUGGUCAAUCGCGAAACUUGUGUUCGUAUCACGCCAGCGAGUGUGGAAUGAUCUGAAAGGAACGGUCGAGGGCAUUGGUAUUGCGGGGCGAGAGGUGAAAUUCUAUGACCCCCGCAAGACCUCCUGAAGCGAAGGCGUCUGCCACGGAUGUUUUCAUUAAUCAUGAACGAAAGUUAGAGGAUCGAAGGCGAUCAGAUACCGCCCUAGUUUUAACCGUAAACGAUAUCAACCAUCAAUCCGCGUGAGCACCCUAGUUCGGACCGUUAGGGCAACCUGCGGUUCGUACAUUGUGGGCUCGGCGGGCAGCUCUUCCGAAGGAAACUUUUAAGUUAGAUUCCUGGGGGAGUCUGGUUGCAAAGCUGAAACUUAAAGGAAUUGACGGAAAGGCACCACCAGGCGUGGAGCUUGCGGCUCAAUUUGACUCAACACGGGCAAACUUACCAGGCCAGCACGGUCGUACGAUUGACAGAUUGAAAGCUCUUUCUCGAUUGAGUGGAUGGUGGUGCAUGGCCGUUCUUAGUUGGUGGAGUGAUCUGUCUGGUUAAUUCCGAUAACGAACGAGACUCUCCCCUGCUAACCGGCGCUUAUAAACGCAGUAGACGGCGCGAUUCCACGGUAAGAAGCCCUCGCACCUUGUGUGUGUGGUGUCUUCGGACGAGUCCGCUGAUCUCCUUGGCUCCACUCUAGCUGGUUUCCGGAACCGUUCUCUCUCUGUUGGUUUCUGGCCUCGUUUCUGCGAUGUGUCAGUGCUGCGUUGUUGAGAGCGACCGGUUAUCCUUGCGAAAAGUGUCCUCGGAGAGCGUAUCUUCUUAGAGGUAUUGACGACUCUUCAAAAGUCGUAAGAGACAGAGAGCAAUAACAGGUCUGUGAUGCCCUUAGAUGUUCUGGGCCGCACGCGAGCUACAAUGCCGGGUACAGCGGGUGAUUAAUCCUAUGCCGAGAGGUACGGGUAACCCUGUGAAAACCUAGUAAGAACGCUUAACCGCGUUCGCGUGGCUCGCUUGGGCCUGGGGCUUGCAAUUCUUUCCCACAAACGAGGAAUGCCUAGUAGUCGCGAAUCACUGAGCUCGCAGCGACUUAGUCCCUGCCCUUUGUACACACCGCCCGUCGCUACUACCGAUUGAGUGUACCAGUGAGAUCCUCGGAUUAACGAACCGGAGCAUUUCGGUGCUCGGGCGAACGCUGAGAAGAGGCCCGAACUGGUGCACUAGAGGAAGAUUACCC